AUUGAACGCUGGCGGCAUGCCUUACACAUGCAAGUCGAACGCGAAAGGGGGGCAACCCCCGAGUAGAGUGGCGAACGGGUGAGUAAUACAUCGGAACGUGUCCAGUAGCGGGGGAUAACCUCUCGAAAGAGAGGCUAAUACCGCAUACGUCCUACGGGAGAAAGCGGGGGACCGCAAGGCCUCGCACUAUUGGAGCGGCCGAUGUCGGAUUAGCUAGUUGGUGAGGUAACGGCUUACCAAGGCGACGAUCCGUAGCUGGUCUGAGAGGACGACCAGC
rnacentral:rRNA from 1 species